AAAUUGAAGAGUUUGAUCAUGGCUCAGAUUGAACGCUGGCGGCAGGCCUAACACAUGCAAGUCGAGCGGAAACGAGUUAUCAGAACCUUCG
rnacentral:rRNA from 1 species